ACACAUGCAGUCGAACGAUGAUCCCAGCUUGCUGGGGGAUUAGUGGCGAACGGGUGAGUAACACGUGAGUAACCUGCCCUUGACUCUGGGAUAAGCCUGGGAAACCGGGUCUAAUACUGGAUAUGACCUUCUGGCGCAUGCCAUGUUGGUGGAAAGCUUUAUUGCGGUUUUGGAUGGACUCGCGGCCUAUCAGCUUGUUGGUGGGGUAAUGGCCUACCAAGGCGACGACGGGUAGCCGGCCUGAGAGGGUGGACGGCCACACUGGGACUGAGACACGGCCCAGACUCCUACGGGAGGCAGCAGUGGGGAAUAUUGCACAAUGGGCGCAAGCCUGAUGCAGCGACGCCGCGUGGGGGAUGAAGGCCUUCGGGUUGUAAACCUCUUUCAGUAGGGAAGAAGCGAAAGUGACGGUACCUGCAGAAGAAGCGCCGGCUAACUACGUGCCAGCAGCCGCGGUAAUACGUAGGGCGCAAGCGUUAUCCGGAAUUAUUGGGCGUAAAGAGCUCGUAGGCGGUUUGUCGCGUCUGCCGUGAAAGUCCGGGGCUUAACCCCGGAUCUGCGGUGGGUACGGGCAGACUAGAGUGAUGUAGGGGAGACUGGAAUUCCUGGUGUAGCGGUGAAAUGCGCAGAUAUCAGGAGGAACACCGAUGGCGAAGGCAGGUCUCUGGGCAUUAACUGACGCUGAGGAGCGAAAGCAUGGGGAGCGAACAGGAUUA
rnacentral:rRNA from 1 species